UACGAAGGGGGCUAGCGUUGUUCGGAUUUACUGGGCGUAAAGCGCACGUAGGCGGAUCGUUAAGUCAGGGGUGAAAUCCUGGAGCUCAACUCCAGAACUGCCUUUGAUACUGAGGAUCUUGAGUUCGGGAGAGGUGAGUGGAACUGCGAGUGUAGAGGUGAAAUUCGUAGAUAUUCGCAAGAACACCAGUGGCGAAGGCGGCUCACUGGCCCGAUACUGACGCUGAUGCACGAAAGCGUGGGGAGCAAACAGG
rnacentral:rRNA from 1 species